AACAGGAUUAGAUACCCUGGUAGUCCACGCUGUAAACGAUGUCGAUUUGGAGGUUGUGGGCAUGACCCGUGGCUUCCGGAGCUAACGCGUUAAAUCGACCGCCUGGGGAGUACGGCCGCAAGGUUAAAACUCAAAUGAAUUGACGGGGGCCCGCACAAGCGGUGGAGCAUGUGGUUUAAUUCGAUGCAACGCGAAGAACCUUACCUACUCUUGACAUCCAGAGAAUUCGCUAGAGAUAGCUUAGUGCCUUCGGGAACUCUGAGACAGGUGCUGCAUGGCUGUCGUCAGCUCGUGUUGUGAAAUGUUGGGUUAAGUCCCGCAACGAGCGCAACCCUUAUCCUUUGUUGCCAGCACGUAAUGGUGGGAACUCAAAGGAGACUGCCGGUGGUAAACCGGAGGAAGGUGGGGAUGACGUCAAGUCAUCAUGGCCCUUACGAGUAGGGCUACACACGUGCUACAAUGGCAUAUACAAAGAGAAGCGAACUCGCGAGAGCAAGCGGACCUCACAAAGUAUGUCGUAGUCCGGAUUGGAGUCUGCAACUCGACUCCAUGAAGUCGGAAUCGCUAGUAAUCGUAGAUCAGAAUGCUACGGUGAAUACGUUCCCGGGCCUUGUACACACCGCCCGUCACACCAUGGGAGUGGGUUGCAAAAGAAGUAGGUAGCUUAACCUUCGGGAGGGCGCUUACCACUUUGUGAUUCAUGACUGGGGUGAAGUCGUAACAAGGUAACCGUA
rnacentral:rRNA from 1 species